rnacentral:misc_RNA from 1 species
CAGAGUUGCAAAACUCCCACAACCAUCGCGAAUCUUACCCGUACGGUUGCCUCGGCGCUGGCGGUCCGGAAGGCCCUCGGGCCCCCGGAUCCUCGGGUCUCCCGCUCGCGGGAGGCUGCCCGCCGGAGUGCCGAAACCAAACUCUUGAUAUUUAUGUCUCUCUGAGUAAACUUUUAAAUAAGUCA